UAGUGUCGGCUACGGAGGGUAUUGUGUACAGUUUGGUGAGGAACAGUCUCAUGGGCAGUGGUCGGUGGAAGAAGCUGCGUUGAGUUCUACACACAGGGAAUUAAAGGCAGUGUAUAUGGUUCUGCAGAGUUUUCUCCCUUUGCUGAAGUCACACAGGAUCAAAUGGUUUUCUGAUAAUAAAAAUGUUGAAUCGAUUGUAGCUAAAGGAUCUAUGAAAUCUGGGCUGCAAAGCAUUGCUAUGGACAUUUUUAAUCUUUGUCUCCAAGGUCAGAUUCAGUUGGAAAUGCAGUGGACACCCCGGUCAGAAAAUGAGAGAUCAGAUUAUCUUAGCAAGCUUGUGGACACGGACGAUUGGGGAAUCAGUGAUUUUGUAUAUCAGCACAUACAGAGUAUGUGGGGUCCAUAUGAUAUAGAUGUAUUUGCCUCGUAUUAUAACAACAAGGUUGCUAGGUUUUAUUCCAGAUAUUGGAAUCCUGGAUCAUGUGGAGUGGAUGCAUUUACCAUGAGUUGGUCUGAAGGCAACAAUUGGAUAGUGCCACCUGUAUAUUUGAUAUCUAGGUCAUUACGGCAAUUGAGAAUGUGUCAAGGCAGGGCUACGUUGAUAGUUCCUGUUUGGUAUUCAGCUACUUUUUGGCCAUUGUUAUGUCCUAGGGGAGAGUUUGUUUCACAGGUGAAGGAAGUGGUUUAUCUGCCUACUUACAAAGAUGCAUAUGUCCCAAGCAGACAAAGCAAUGGUCUGUUUGGUGUUUAUGAUUUAAAUUUUAACAUGAUGGCGAUUCGGGUUCAGUUUUGAAUUUCCUGUUACAGGUGUUUUUGAUCACGUGUUUGGUGACGAGAUAGCAGAGCUACCGCCGAGUGUGAAGGAAUUAGCAAAAGCAAUACCGGGACUGCUUAAUCAUGCCAGAGCGACUUCCACGUGCAGAAAGUACAAGUAUGGUUUCCGUGCUUGGAGAAAGUGGGCUGUUUCUAACGAAAUCUGUCCAAGACCAGUGAUGGCUAUAUAUUUAGAGCCGAAAACAAACCGAUGUCUUAUACUCGGUUGAGGGAAUUAUUUAUUGAAGCCUUUAAGCCUUACGUACCUGACAUAAAAUGCUACGGUAUGCAUAGUUUGAGGUCAGGUGGAGCAACAGUGGCAGCCAAUGGAGGCAUCCCUGAUAGAAUGUUUAAACGACAUGGUCGCUGGAGGAGUGAGAGUGCCAAAGAUGGCUAUGUUAAGGACAGCAUCGAAAAUAGAUUAAAAGUGUCUCUUCCUUUGGGGCUUUGAAUUGCCCGUUCUUAGUUUCCUCAGUCAGUGCACCGUACAGUAUCCCAAUAUGUUGUAGUUGUGUAUUUUGUUGUGUUAGGGGGGAGAAGGAGGAGAAAUAUAAUUUCUUUCGUUUGAGGGACGAAUUAGAAUGAAAUUAUUUUCUCCUAACGUCGGAAAGCACAACAACGGGAGGUAACCUGGUUUCGUAAUGGGUAUAUAAGUAAAGGCGGGAAGUUGAAACUUCAUUCUCAGGUGCGGUGCAGUCGGGCUGGCUAUAUUAAACAUGUUCAGUUAUGUAUGAUGCCGAUUGGAGUACACGUCGGUUGAAUCUAUAUUUUUUAUUAUUUAUGUGUGUAGUACCUGCGGCUGUCCAUAUGAUGAUCAGAAUUUUAUGCGUUGCUUGCAAGUUGUGCUGGCGAGCCAUGAUAAUACGUCGUGAGAUCGCUAGAUGGAUCGGUAUCCAUAGUUGAAAUCUCGAACACUCCAGUUGUGAGAGUAUGGAUUUGGGAUAUACUCUGAUGAGUAUGCGCUGACGAGCCAUUAGAAUACGUAAUAAGGCGUCGAUGCCUGUGUAUAUGUACACGUUGAAAAUAUGAAGCAUCGAAUCUAUAAUAUUCAUGUAAAUUACGGUUGGUUGAUGGUCAUGAUGCUGGUGAUGUUCCUGAUGCGGACGAUGUUCAUGAUAAUGUGAAUACUUGUUGAAGAAUAAACUGCGGUCAGUCAGUGCACCGUACAGUAUCCCAAUA